UAGGGAAUCUUCCACAAUGGACGCAAGUCUGAUGGAGCAACGCCGCGUGAGUGAAGAAGGUUUUCGGAUCGUAAAGCUCUGUUGUUGGUGAAGAAGGAUAGAGGUAGUAACUGGCCUUUAUUUGACGGUAAUCAACCAGAAAGUCACGGCUAACUACGUGCCAGCAGCCGCGGUAAUACGUAGGUGGCAAGCGUUGUCCGGAGUUAUUGGGCGUAAAGCGAGCGCAGGCGGAAGAAUAAGUCUGAUGUGAAAGCCCUCGGCUUAACCGAGGAACUGCAUCGGAAACUGUUUUUCUUGAGUGCAGAAGAGGAGAGUGGAAUUCCAUGUGUAGCGGUGGAAUGCGUAGAUAUAUGGAAGAACACCAGUGGCGAAGGCGACUCUCUGGUCUGCAACUGACGCUGAGGCUCGAAAGCAUGGGUAGCGAACAGG
rnacentral:rRNA from 1 species